rnacentral:rRNA from 1 species
CCGGCGACCGGCGCACGGGUGAGUAACACGUAUGCAACCUGCCCUCUUCAGGGGGACAACCUUCCGAAAGGGAGGCUAAUCCCGCGUAUAUCGGUUUCGGGCAUCCGAGAUCGAGGAAAGAUUCAUCGGAAGAGGAUGGGCAUGCGGCGCAUUAGCUAGACGGCGGGGUAAUGGCCCACCGUGGCGACGAUGCGUAGGGGUUCUGAGAGGAAGGUCCCCCACACUGGUACUGAGACACGGACCAGACUCCUACGGAAGGCAGCAG